rnacentral:rRNA from 1 species
ACGCUGGCGGCAUGCUUUACACAUGCAAGUCGGACGGCAGCACAGAGAAGCUUGCUUCUUGGGUGGCGAGUGGCGAACGGGUGAGUAAUAUAUCGGAACGUACCGAGUAAUGGGGGAGAACUAAUCGAAAGAUUAGCUAAUACCGCAUAUUCUCUGAGGAGGAAAGCAGGGGACCUUCGGGCCUUGCGUUAUUCGAGCAGCCGAUAUCUGAUUAGCUAGUUGGUAGGGUAAAGGCCUACCAAGGCGACGAUCAGUAGCGGGUCUGAGAGGAUGAUCCGCCACACUGGGACUGAGACACGGCCCAGACUCCUACGGGAGGCAGCAGUGGGGAAUUUUGGACAAUGGGCGCAAGCCUGAUCCAGCCAUGCCGCGUGUCUGAAGAAGGCCUUCGGGUUGUAAAGGACUUUUGUCAGGGAAGAAAAGGCUGUUGCUAAUACCGACAGCUGAUGACGGUACCUGAAGAAUAAGCACCGGCUAACUACGUGCCAGCAGCCGCGGUAAUACGUAGGGUGCGAGCGUUAAUCGGAAUUACUGGGCGUAAAGCGAGCGCAGACGGUUACUUAAGCAGGAUGUGAAAUCCCCGGGCUCAACCUGGGAACUGCGUUCUGAACUGGGUGACUAGAGUGUGUCAGAGGGAGGUAGAAUUCCACGUGUAGCAGUGAAAUGCGUAGAGAUGUGGAGGAAUACCGAUGGCGAAGGCAGCCUCCUGGGAUAACACUGACGUUCAUGCUCGAAAGCGUGGGUAGCAAACAGGAUUAGAUACCCUGGUAGUCCACGCCCUAAACGAUGUCAAUUAGCUGUUGGGCAACUUGAUUGCUUAGUAGCGUAGCUAACGCGUGAAAUUGACCGCCUGGGGAGUACGGUCGCAAGAUUAAAACUCAAAGGAAUUGACGGGGACCCGCACAAGCGGUGGAUGAUGUGGAU